rnacentral:rRNA from 1 species
AUUGAACGCUGGCGGCAUGCCUUACACAUGCAAGUCGAACGGCAGCACGGGAGCAAUCCUGGUGGCGAGUGGCGAACGGGUGAGUAAUACAUCGGAACGUGCCCAGUAGUGGGGGAUAGCCCGGCGAAAGCCGGAUUAAUACCGCAUACGACCUACGGGUGAAAGCGGGGGAUCGCAAGACCUCGCGCUAUUGGAGCGGCCGAUGGCAGAUUAGCUUGUUGGUGGGGUAAAGGCCCACCAAGGCGACGAUCUGUAGCUGGUCUGAGAGGACGACCAGCCACACUGGGACUGAGACACGGCCCAGACUCCUACGGGAGGCAGCAGUGGGGAAUUUUGGACAAUGGGCGCAAGCCUGAUCCAGCCAUGCCGCGUGCGGGAAGAAGGCCUUCGGGUUGUAAACCGCUUUUGUCAGGGAAGAAACGGUCUGAUCUAAUAAGUCGGACUAAUGACGGUACCUGAAGAAGAAGCUCCGGCUAAAUUCGUGCCAGCCGCCGCCGUAA